GGGUGAGUAAAAUGUGGGUAAUCUGUCUUCCAGAGGGGGAUAACCCGGCGAAAGCUGGGCUAAAACCGCGUAACGUUUAGAUUGCCAAGGUGAUUUAAAUCAAAACAUGGCCUCUAUUAAUAAGCCAUGGCUGGGAGGUGAGCCCACAUCCUAUCACGCUUGUUGGUGGGGUAAAGGCCUACCAAGGCGACGACGGGUAGCCGGCCUGAGAGGGUGUCCGGCCACACUGGAACUGAGACACGGUCCAGACUCCUACGGGAGGCAGCAGUGGGGAAUUUUUCGCAAUGGGCGCAAGCCUGACGAAGCAACGCCGCGUAGAGGAUGAAGGCCCUCGCGGUCGUAAACUCUUGUCUAGCGGGACGAAAGUUCACAAGAAGAAUAAGCUUGUGGAUUGACUGUACCUCUGGAGGAAGCUCCGGCCAACUCCGUGCCAGCAGCCGCGGUAAUACGGAGGGAGCAAGCGUUACUCGGAAUUACUGGGCGUAAAGGGCGCGUAGGCGUUCUAUCAAGUCUUGUGUGAAAGCCCCGGGCUUAACCUGGGAAGUGCACAAGAUACUGAAUGAAUAGAGUUCCGGAGAGGAAGAUGGAAUUCCCGGUGUAGCGGUGAAAUGCGUAGAUAUCGGGAGGAACACCAGUGGCGAAGGCGAUCUUCUGGACGGAUACUGACGCUGAGGCGCGAAAGCUAGGGGAGCAAACAGGAUUAGAUACCCUGGUAGUCCUAGCCGUAAACAAUGUGCACUUGGUGUAAGCCGGUUUUCGGUUUGUGCCGAAGUUAACGCGAUAAGUGCACCGCCUGGGGAGUACGGUCGCAAGUCUGAAACUCAAAGGAAUUGACGGGGGCCCGCACAAGCGGUGGAGCAUGUGGUUCAAUUCGAUACAACGCGAAGAACCUUACCUGGGUUUGAACUGCAACUGAAGUAUUCAGAGAUGGAUACGGCUAGCAAUAGACAGGUUGUAGAGGUGCUGCAUGGCUGUCGUCAGCUUCCGUGUCGUGAAGAUGUUUGGGUUUUAAGUCCCGCAAACGA
rnacentral:rRNA from 1 species